UGGGGAAUAUUGCACAAUGGGCGCAAGCCUGAUGCAGCGAUGCCGCGUGAGGGAAGAAGGUUUUCGGAUUGUAAACCUCUGUCAUCAGGGGCGAAAAUGACGGUACCUGAGAAGGAAGCUCCGGCUAACUACGUGCCAGCAGCCGCGGUAAUACGUAGGGAGCAAGCGUUAUCCGGAAUUACUGGGUGUAAAGGGCGUGUAGGCGGAGGAGCAAGUCAGAUGUGAAAUCCCGGGGCUUAACCCCGGAACUGCAUUUGAAACUGUUUCCCUUGAGUAUCGGAGAGGCAAGCGGAAUUCCUAGUGUAGCGGUGAAAUGCGUAGAUAUUAGGAGGAACACCAGUGACGAAGGCGGCUUGCUGGACGACAACUGACGCUGGGGCGCGAAAGCGUGGGGAGCAAACAGGAUUAGAUACCCUGGUAGU
rnacentral:rRNA from 1 species